CUUGUUUCAAUGGAUAUAACAUCUCACCUGAAUGUAAAUUGCAUACAUGAAAGGCAAUAAAACCUUCUAUCCUUCCCACACUCUAUUAAUACACAUACAUCACACACACAUUAAUGGAGCAGGACUCCAUCUUCACAAAUAGAUGAAACACAAAAUCGGCCCCUCAUCCCCCUUUUAGUUCUCCUCUCCCUCUCGAUUCUACUGUAAAACCCACACAAAUUCUGCUUUCACAUGUUCACAAACAAAUGAAACCUUCACACUACUCCCUUGAUUACAUACAUCAGACACACACCCACACCUUUGUGCACCCACCUCAGCCCCCUUCCUCCUCGAUGGACUGAUCGGCGACCACCACCACCGCCUGGUGGUGGUGCGACGAUGAAGCACAAGGGCGGAGAGAGAGAGGCAGAGAGAUGAGAGAGAAAGAGAUCGGGAAGGAGGUGGUGCGACGAUGGAGCAAGCGAGAGGCCGGAGCAGAGGAGAUGGCGGAAUCACGGCGAGCUGUGGCGGCGGCAGACGGCGGCGCCGCCGUCUGCAGCGGAGGUGAUGUUUGAUUUUGUUAAUUUCGACGAGUUUCCACGGCGGAGAGGAGUCGGUGACCAGCUUCGGGCGACGGCAAUGUGUAUUCCGGCGGCCGCGUUUCAGCGGCAGGCCACAGUUCCCCGGUAAGAGUUUCUUCUCUGUUUCGGGUAAAUUAUUUGUUCGUGCACAUUUGCUAACCUACUUCUUUCAAAACUUGGGAUUUGCGGUGGUCG
rnacentral:lncRNA from 1 species